AGAGUUUGAUCCUGGCUCAGAGCGAACGCUGGCGGCAGGCUUAACACAUGCAAGUCGAGCGGGCGUAGCAAUACGUCAGCGGCAGACGGGUGAGUAACGCGUGGGAACAUACCUUUUGGUUCGGAACAACACAGGGAAACUUGUGCUAAUACCGGAUAAGCCCNNNNNNGGAAAGAUUUAUCGCCGAAAGAUUGGCCCGCGUCUGAUUAGCUAGUUGGUGAGGUAACGGCUCACCAAGGCGACGAUCAGUAGCUGGUCUGAGAGGAUGAUCAGCCACAUUGGGACUGAGACACGGCCCAAACUCCUACGGGAGGCAGCAGUGGGGAAUAUUGGACAAUGGGCGCAAGCCUGAUCCAGCCAUGCCGCGUGAGUGAUGAAGGCCCUAGGGUUGUAAAGCUCUUUUGUGCGGGAAGAUAAUGACGGUACCGCAAGAAUAAGCCCCGGCUAACUUCGUGCCAGCAGCCGCGGUAAUACGAAGGGGGCUAGCGUUGCUCGGAAUCACUGGGCGUAAAGGGUGCGUAGGCGGGUCUUUAAGUCAGGGGUGAAAUCCUGGAGCUCAACUCCAGAACUGCCUUUGAUACUGAAGAUCUUGAGUUCGGGAGAGGUGAGUGGAACUGCGAGUGUAGAGGUGAAAUUCGUAGAUAUUCGCAAGAACACCAGUGGCGAAGGCGGCUCACUGGCCCGAUACUGACGCUGAGGCACGAAAGCGUGGGGAGCAAACAGGAUUAGAUACCCUAGUAGUCC
rnacentral:rRNA from 1 species